rnacentral:rRNA from 1 species
AUUGAACGCUGGCGGCAUGCCUUACACAUGCAAGUCGAACGGUAACAGGUCUUCGGAUGCUGACGAGUGGCGAACGGGUGAGUAAUACAUCGGAACGUGCCUAGUAGUGGGGGAUAACUACUCGAAAGAGUGGCUAAUAUCGCCUGAGAUCUACGGAUGAAAGCAGGGGAUCGCAAGACAUUGUGCUACUAUAGCGGCCGAUGGCAGAUUAGGUAGGUGGUGGGAUAAAAGCUUACCAAGCCGACGAUCUGUAGCUGGUCUGAGAGGACGAUCAGCCACACUGGGACUGAGACACGGCCCAGACUCCUACGGGAGGCAGCAGUGGGGAAUUUUGGACAAUGGGCGAAAGCCUGAUCCAGCAAUGCCGCGUGCAGGAUGAAGGCCUUCGGGUUGUAAACUGCUUUUGUACGGAACGAAAAGCCCCUCCUUCAUACCCUGGGGUCAUGACGGUACCGUAAGAAUAAGCACCGGCUAACUACGUGCCAGCAGCCGCCGUAA